rnacentral:rRNA from 1 species
UGAGUAACACGUAUCCAACCUGCCGUCUACUCUUGGACAGCCUUCUGAAAGGAAGAUUAAUACAAGAUGGCAUCAUGAGUCCGCAUGUUCACAUGAUUAAAGGUAUUCCGGUAGACGAUGGGGAUGCGUUCCAUUAGAUAGUAGGCGGGGUAACGGCCCACCUAGUCUUCGAUGGAUAGGGGUUCUGAGAGGAAGGUCCCCACAUUGGAACUGAGACACGGUCCAAACUCCUACGGAAGGCAGCAG